AAUACAAUUAGAAAUAACACACCAUAAUGUACAUAACUCAUAAAAUAAAAAGUGAUUUGCGGAAAAAAAUGAUAAGCAUGAUAAAAGACAGGGAGGCGUUGACGUGACGUUAUUAUUACUGCACUUCAAUAUUCACUCAAAGGACUUUCAAGUGCGCCAUAAGUGUCAUAUCCGCGAGCAGCUGGAGGCCUUAGUACAAGCUGGGUCACAAGAGGAUGGGGGAGGUAUUGAUGGGGGGAAAGCUGGGGUGGCACACCUGGGUAGGAGGGUGUGCACAAGUCAGGGGCUACAUUAUAAUAAUCAUAAUCUAAGGGUCCUUAUCUCAUGCCCUUUCAAGCAUGUAAACCUAAGAUAAUAUAGGGAAAAGAAACUUACAACCAUCCUUCCAUUCCUUUUAUCAUGCAUUUCCGUUAUUUUCAAUCCCCUCCCCCCCCCCUGAUGAAUAAUGUGCCUUGCAUACUGUAGUGGAUAUUUUCCCUACAACUGCAACUGCCGUUUGUUGCUGACGAGCCACUCCACUUCGAAUUCCCCAGCCUACGCCUCGUGGUCUAAGGUCGGCUACUAGCGCCGCCUAACAAAGCGGAGGUCAACUAACAAGCCACGCCGACCUCCGCAAUAUAAGACCUCACCUCGCUGUGACCUGCCCCUUCUACCAACAGCCACGCAGCAAACAACACCUCCUCUGAGCACGCUCCCGAACCAGCUCUCUACUCCACGCUGCCACUUCCCAACACCAAGCUGCACUAUACAUCCAAUACAGUAUAUAUAGAGCACA